UGGGGUGUGGCUCGGUGGCAGAGCACUCGCCUAGCACUAGCACGCGUGAGUCACUGGAUUCGAUCCUCAGCACCACAU
rnacentral:tRNA from 1 species